CCUUACUUGGGCUGCGAAAAAAUAUUUCCAGAUACGGAACGGGCACGCAUCGAUAAAGACAGCAAUCCGCGUCGACCAGCUGAUAUGUUUGCCUGGCGCAUGAUUGAGUGUGAUGCCCAUCGUCGUCAGCGACCCUCGGAUUAGUGCUACCCAGCCAUGACUCCACUCCGACACCCGUUUGCCACCCGCUAAGACUCAACUUCAGCAAAAACAUUCAAAAUGUGUGUCUAUCAAUUCAUGACAACCUGUAUCUGCAUCGGAUGCAACGGUUUUUAUCCAGCUGUAUGGCGGCUGUCGAAAUUUUAGUUCCGCUGGAAGUUCACAUAGAAUAGAGGCUUGGGCAAAUGGAUAACAACCGUGACCAUGAAAAUUGCAACAGCUGUAUGCUCCCGUGGAAACGAUUGUCUGCCAGACAGAAGAGAAGUGACAACUCAAAGGAAUUUUCCUCUCACUGUCCGGUUCCUGAUUUUGAACCCGGGAUAUACGGCGAGUAGAAAUAGAAGAUAUGAAACGGCCUGUCCCUUGGUAGCUGGCAAAUUUGAGCCUGCAUAAUGGUUCCACGCACUAGCCUAACAGAACCAAAAAGAGUGAUUGCAGUUUCCUCAAUUCGGAACAUGGUUCUGCCACAACUGCAAUACCGCAACGGGAGCGAAACAAUAAAGAGAUUCAAACCCGUGAUGCCUCUGCCGAUACUAGAAACUUCGAAAACUUUUUACCAAAAUUUCAACCAGCAGGGAACGCGUUGCUAAUCAUCUGGGGCUUGCCUCCGAACGGACUGUUCAAGGUGGAAAAUGAAGCCAAUUGUGCUCUUGCUGGUGCUUCCGGUGGCCUGCCCCCAGCGAUGGCAACGACUCUUCAAAAGUUGCUUCCUGGUAAUUUUGAGCCGGAAGGAUUAAUUUUGAGAAA